ensembl:lncRNA
UGUUUUCAAAUACUUCUGUUUGGAAAGUUGGCUACUUGUUAAUGAAUAUUCUGGUACAAGAAUGUCAGGAAAUCUUAGUUAAAAAUCUUAGUUACAGCAAAGAUAGAAAAACAACUAUUCUGAGUAUCAUUCAAAUUCACAGCUUGUGUGGGAAGGCAAAUUCCUUGGGAGACCGAAUAACCCCUGAACUUUUCUGGAAACUGUCUCAUUAUUGGAAGUUUCUUUUUGUAUGAAUUUUUAAUUUGGAGCAGGGACCUUUGAAAAUUUAGAUUUUGAAGUUCAUAACAACAGAAACAUGGAUUUUUUUCCUCUGGGCUAAAUUCGAGUAUUGUUAAAUCCUAUCACCCCACUGCAGUGUAUUGGAAUAAGGUCACAACUGGAAUUUGACCAUGUGGCUGAAACGUGCUUUGCUUGUUGACAAUGUCUUCUCAUUCUCCAGCUCAUAUUGCUGUGCACAAUGCCUUCUGUGAAAUAAAGCCCUGGAAUUACAGUGGAAGUUUGUUCUGGACGACUGGAUUAAAGCAGGGUUUUUGCAGCCACAAAGGAAGAUAUGGAGAUACAAAGUAACUUCAGUGCUGAUGAGGUUUUCACCUUGGGGCAUGUGUAUGCAAUAGACUUCCUCCUGUUGGAAGCUUCUUGCCUUGACCAUGUUGAAAGUGCAGAGUGUGCUGAUAUGAUGGAACGUGGGGGACACCUAGCUAAGGUCAUCAUGAGCUCUGUAAGAAGGCCAUGUGUGCUUGCAUGUCUAAAGUAACAACAUAUAUGUACACGUGUGUAUGUAUUUAGAGUUGGGCCAGAAUCACUUCCCCCCCCCCACACCUCAGUGAAGUUGCAUUUUGUUUGGUAACCAGGUUUCAUUCUCAGGAGGUCUAGGACUGGUGCUGUCUGGUUUUUUGUUUGUUUGGAAAUUCUCUGUAAUGCAGACUGGCCUGGCCCAUCAAGGGUUUGUUGGUAUGGUAACAGAAAGUAAUUUAAAUUUGUUUUGUAUCAUUCUAGUUUGAGUUCAAAAUACUUCCUCACUCUAUAUAUCAUAAAUUUUUGUGCUUAGGUAGAUUUUGUAUAUUUAGUAUAUUUGUGAUUAAGUGUGUUUUCUUGUGGUAUAGUUAACCUGUUGCCUAAAUUAAAAACUUGGUGUGAAGAUAUGGAAAUUUUACAAACCACUGCUCUUUAAAAGGAAGCUCUUCAGUCUACUGAGGUAAUGAGGAUAGCUUGAAAAUGGAAGAUCCAAAGUUUCUAUCUGUUGAAACUGGGUUGCCAACACUUUGGAUCUGGACUCUCUGAACUAUUACUAUACUGACCCUUUGGAUGCAAACACGGAGCAGCCCAGCUUUCAAGGAGUAUGUUUGGAAAGUUGGCAAGCUAGCUGUUAGUCACGCCAAAGAAGUAAACUGUAUGUUUUGUCUGCUGCAGUGUGAGUGGGCCAUAGUUCUGUUAUGAACAGAUUUGGCUGGCAAGCUUUGUUAACUGCAGACAGCUUAAGCAUUACACCACAGGAAUGGCAGGUGCCUUGCUUUGGUAACACACUCUGAAGAAACUAUACCAACAGCAAAAACCUGGUGCUGUUGUGUUGUGGGAUUGGUUAUUUUUCUUCUCUCUCUCUCUCUCUUACCUGCCUGAUGAAAGAUUACUUUUGUUAUUUUAUUGCCUCUUCAGCUCAUGCACCACCUCUGGACAUGAAAUCUCAACUUCUAACAGCCAUAUUGCCAAUGACUUUAUUUGCAGAUACUUAGGGAGAAGUGGAUGAUGAAUUGCAU